rnacentral:rRNA from 1 species
UACGUAGGGAGCAAGCGUUGUCCGGAAUCAUUGGGCGUAAAGCGCGCGUAGGUGGCCUCAUAAGUCCGCUGUGAAAGUCAAAGGCUCAACCUUUGAAAGCCGGUGGAUACUGUGAGGCUAGAGUACGGAAGAGGCGAGUGGAAUUCCUGGUGUAGCGGUGGAAUGCGCAGAUAUCAGGAGGAACACCAAUAGCGAAGGCAGCUCGCUGGAACGGUACUGACGCUGAGGCGCGAAAGCGUGGGGAGCGAACAGG